CGGGGCCGGGAGGAGUCGCCGCCGGGUCCCUGCGCCGCGGGCGAGCCCAGACGCAGCUGCAGCCGAGAGAGGCGCCGCCCGCCCCGUCCAGCCGCUCCGCGCAGGCGCUGUUAAGUCAGCUCUGCUGUGUGAGGUGGGCCACCUCCCCCCAGCUUGCUGCUCGGCACGGAAGAUCAAGCCAGGAGUCCCUCCCCUGCCCCCCUCAAGUUCCUCACUCCAUCCGUAACCUUCCUUUGUAGAGCCCUUACUC
rnacentral:lncRNA from 1 species